UACGUAGGGGGCAAGCGUUGUCCGGAAUUACUGGGCGUAAAGGGCGCGUAGGCGGUGUGUCAAGUCAGGCGUGAAAGCCCCGGGCUCAACCUGGGAACCGCGCUUGAGACUGGCACGCUAGAGUUCGGGAGAGGAUGGUGGAAUUCCCAGUGUAGAGGUGAAAUUCGUAGAUAUUGGGAAGAACACCGAUGGGGAAGGCAGCCAUCUGGACCGACACUGACGCUGAGGCGCGAAAGCGUGGGGAGCAAACAGG
rnacentral:rRNA from 1 species